GCUUUCGUGGUGUAGUGGUUCAACAUGCUCGACGCGUAACCGAGAGGUCCGUGGUUCGAUUCCCGGCGAAGGCU
rfam:Stegodyphus mimosarum contig52110, whole genome shotgun sequence.